rnacentral:rRNA from 1 species
UACGUAGGUGGCGAGCGUUGUCCGGAUUUACUGGGCGUAAAGGGAGCGUAGGCGGACUUUUAAGUGAGGUGUGAAAUACCCGGGCUCAACUUGGGUGCUGCAUUUCAAACUGGAAGUCUAGAGUGCAGGAGAGGAGAAUGGAAUUCCUAGUGUAGCGGUGAAAUGCGUAGAGAUUAGGAAGAACACCAGUGGCGAAGGCGAUUCUCUGGACUGUAACUGACGCUGAGGCUCGAAAGCGUGGGGAGCAAACAGGAUUAGAUACCCCCGUAGUCCCU